CCUACGGGUGGCUGCAGUGGGGAAUAUCGCACAAUGGGCGCAAGCCUGAUGCAGCCAUGCCGCGUGUGUGAAGAAGGCCUUCGGGUUGUAAAGCACUUUCAGCGGGGAGGAAGGCGGUGAGGUUAAUAACCUCAUCGAUUGACGUUACCCGCAGAAGAAGCACCGGCUAACUCCGUGCCAGCAGCCGCGGUAAUACGGAGGGUGCAAGCGUUAAUCGGAAUUACUGGGCGUAAAGCGCACGCAGGCGGUCUGUCAAGUCGGAUGUGAAAUCCCCGGGCUCAACCUGGGAACUGCAUUCGAAACUGGCAGGCUAGAGUCUUGUAGAGGGGGGUAGAGUUCCAGGUGUAGCGGUGAAAUGCGUAGAGAUCUGGAGGAAUACCGGUGGCGAAGGCGGCCCCCUGGACAAAGACUGACGCUCAGGUGCGAAAGCGUGGGGAGCAAACAGGAUUAGAUACCCCAGUAGUC
rnacentral:rRNA from 1 species